rnacentral:rRNA from 1 species
GAACGCUAUCUACAGGCUUAACACAUGCAAGUCGAGGGGCAGCAUGGUCUUAGCUUGCUAAGGCCGAUGGCGACCGGCGCACGGGUGAGUAACACGUAUCCAACCUGCCGUCUACUCUUGGACAGCCUUCUGAAAGGAAGAUUAAUACAAGAUGGCAUCAUGAGUCCGCAUGUUCACAUGAUUAAAGGUAUUCCGGUAGACGAUGGGGAUGCGUUCCAUUAGAUAGUAGGCGGGGUAACGGCCCACCUAGUCUUCGAUGGAUAGGGGUUCUGAGAGGAAGGUCCCCCACAUUGGAACUGAGACACGGUCCAAACUCCUACGGGAGGCAGCAGUGAGGAAUAUUGGUCAAUGGGCGAGAGCCUGAACCAGCCAAGUAGCGUGAAGGAUGACUGCCCUAUGGGUUGUAAACUUCUUUUAUAAAGGAAUAAAGUCGGGUAUGGAUACCCGUUUGCAUGUACUUUAUGAAUAAGGAUCGGCUAACUCCGUGCCAGCAGCCGCGGUAAUACGGAGGAUCCGAGCGUUAUCCGGAUUUAUUGGGUUUAAAGGGAGCGUAGAUGGAUGUUUAAGUCAGUUGUGAAAGUUUGCGGCUCAACCGUAAAAUUGCAGUUGAUACUGGAUAUCUUGAGUGCAGUUGAGGUAGGCGGAAUUCGUGGUGUAGCGGUGAAAUGCUUAGAUAUCACGAAGAACUCCGAUUGCGAAGGCAGCCUGCUAAGCUGCAACUGACAUUGAGGCUCGAAAGUGUGGGUAUCAAACAGGAUUAGAUACCCUGGUAGUCCACACGGUAAACGAUGAAUACUCGCUGUUUGCGAUAUACAGCAAGCGGCCAAGCGAAAGCGUUAAGUAUUCCACCUGGGGAGUACGCCGGCAACGGUGAAACUCAAAGGAAUUGACGGGGGCCCGCACAAGCGGAGGAACAUGUGGUUUAAUUCGAUGAUACGCGAGGAACCUUACCCGGGCUUAAAUUGCAGAUGAAUUACGGUGAAAGCCGUAAGCCGCAAGGCAUCUGUGAAGGUGCUGCAUGGUUGUCGUCAGCUCGUGCCGUGAGGUGUCGGCUUAAGUGCCAUAACGAGCGCAACCCUUGUUGUCAGUUACUAACAGGUUCCGCUGAGGACUCUGACAAGACUGCCAUCGUAAGAUGUGAGGAAGGUGGGGAUGACGUCAAAUCAGCACGGCCCUUACGUCCGGGGCUACACACGUGUUACAAUGGGGGGUACAGAGGGCCGCUACCACGCGAGUGGAUGCCAAUCCCCAAAACCUCUCUCAGUUCGGACUGGAGUCUGCAACCCGACUCCACGAAGCUGGAUUCGCUAGUAAUCGCGCAUCAGCCACGGCGCGGUGAAUACGUUCCCGGGCCUUGUACACACCGCCCGUCAAGCCAUGGGAGCCGGGGGUACCUGAAGUGCGUAACCGCGAGGAGCGCCCUAGGGUAAAACUGGUGACUGG